rnacentral:rRNA from 1 species
AGCGGACAGAUGGGAGCUUGCUCCCUGAUGUUAGCGGCGGACGGGUGAGUAACACGUGGGUAACCUGCCUGUAAGACUGGGAUAACUCCGGGAAACCGGGGCUAAUACCGGAUGCUUGUUUGAACCGCAUGGUUCAAACAUAAAAGGUGGCUUCGGCUACCACUUACAGAUGGACCCGCGGCGCAUUAGCUAGUUGGUGAGGUAACGGCUCACCAAGGCAACGAUGCGUAGCCGACCUGAGAGGGUGAUCGGCCACACUGGGACUGAGACACGGCCCAGACUCCUACGGGAGGCAGCAGUAGGGAAUCUUCCGCAAUGGACGAAAGUCUGACGGAGCAACGCCGCGUGAGUGAUGAAGGUUUUCGGAUCGUAAAGCUCUGUUGUUAGGGAAGAACAAGUACCGUUCGAAUAGGGCGGUACCUUGACGGUACCUAACCAGAAAGCCACGGCUAACUACGUGCCAGCAGCCGCGGUAAUACGUAGGUGGCAAGCGUUGUCCGGAAUUAUUGGGCGUAAAGGGCUCGCAGGCGGUUCCUUAAGUCUGAUGUGAAAGCCCCCGGCUCAACCGGGGAGGGUCAUUGGAAACUGGGGAACUUGAGUGCAGAAGAGGAGAGUGGAAUUCCACGUGUAGCGGUGAAAUGCGUAGAGAUGUGGAGGAACACCAGUGGCGAAGGCGACUCUCUGGUCUGUAACUGACGCUGAGGAGCGAAAGCGUGGGGAGCGAACAGGAUUAGAUACCCUGGUAGUCCACGCCGUAAACGAUGAGUGCUAAGUGUU